GAGAGAAGCUGAAAAAAGAGAAUGAGAGAAUGAGAGAGAGAGAGAGAGAGAGAGAUGAUUGGGGAGAGAAGGAAGAAAGGGUGUCACGCGAGAAAGCCAAGAGAGAGAAAAGAGAGAAGAGAAGAAAGAAGAGAAAGGCUGGAAGCGAAGAAGGGAAGGGAAAAGAAAGGAGAGAAAAAAGAAGAGAAGGAGGGUGGCCGAGCGGGAAGAAGGGAAGCCGAGAACGGCCGCACAUAGAGAGAGGAGAAGAGAGAUAAUCGUGGAGGAGGAAGAAGAAGAAGGGGAAUUGUGGCCGAGGAGUACCAUAUGUCGGCGGAAUCUAAAAUCAAGGUUGUUCAGGUUUUUCGAGCACCGCAACGCACCCGAGCUAGGUGCAUUCCUUUUCUUCUUUUGGUUUGUGUUUUUGGCCAAAUGAGCGUUCACCUGUGUGUGUGUGUGUGCAGGUUUGGGAGCUAAAGGACCGCGAGGUGGCUGAGAAGAGACCACCGGGAGCCAAACCGAGGCCGAAUCGCCCCACACUAGAAAGGUAAAGCUUUUUCGUAUUUUUGGUGGUUGUUGAGUGGCGGUGGAGUGGGGACGAUGUUUGGCUGGCCGUGCGGGCUAGACUGGGCCACCCAUCCUGGCAGGAACUGAGGAGGUUUCCUCGGGAAUGGGGAAAACCCACCCACCAUGGAAGCUAGAGGGUCUUCUGUGGGAAUAGAGGUUGGAAUCGCUUUUUGGGAUUCUGAUUCGCCAUCUGAGAAGCUGGAAAGUCUUCCUUGGAAAAAGGGAAUCCGAUUCGCCGAACGGGAAGCCGAAAAAUUUUUCGAGUACGGAUCCCGAUAAUUUUGGGUAUUUUGUUGGGUGGUCAUUAUAAUCCAUAAUUCGAUUAAAUUAAAUUUUAGUAUUUUGAAGUAUUUUAAUUAAUUUAUGUCGUGUGUAUAGGAAAUUAGAACAUUCAGGUGGAUCUGUAAAAACGCGUAGGAGUGUAAGUAUUUCUAAAUCUCAAUAGGAUUUGAAUUUUGAAAAGUGCAUUCAUUUUAUAAAAAUGCUUAAUUUUAAAAUUUCAAUGGACAUUAAUCCAAUUUUAGAUGAAAAAUAAAAUUCAAAUUAUGAUCAGUAAAUUUAAGCAAUUGGAACCUUAUGAGGAGACGAAACCAGAAAACAGACCCAAUGGACUGUGAGUUAUUUGAACUGAUGAAAUACAAAAUUAAAAACUUUAAAAAUUCCUAAUUAAGCGAAAAAUAGAAAAAAAAAAUAAAAAAUAAAUAAAAAUAAAUAAUUGAGGUUGUGAAAUGAUCAUUUAAAUAAAUUAACAAUUUUGGAAUGAGAUGAUAGGNNNNNNNNNNNNNNNNNNNNNNNNNNNNNNNNNNNNNNNNNNNNNNNNNNNNNUUAGUCUGAAUCGAUGAGGGGAGUGUGUGUGUGUGACAUGUUGAAACUGCAUAUGGAUAGAGUCUGAAACCUAAUCCAGACGUGGAUAGGUACUUGUGAGUGUGAGUCACCUAAUAAACAUACCUGCUGUGGCUACUGUUAGAUUUAUGUGUAUGUGCUAUCCAUGCGAUGGAAGGAUCCAUUUUGUCUUUCCUUAAUAACGACAUAAACAGUAUCGCGCGAAGAAACCAUAUAAAUGAUCUUUCGAGUGUAUCUAUGAUCUUUUGUGUGUGUGUGAUUAUGUUUCAAAAUGAUGAUUGAUAUUCAAUGUAUUUAUGACUUUCGAGAGUAUGAGAAUAUAAAUUUGAAGUUUGUAUAUGAUAUUCGAGAGAAUUCAUAAGAUCGAUCAGAAACAUGUGAAAUGGUAAAAAUAAGAACAUGAAUUUGGCACUAAAACAUUUUUAUUACUUUUAUUUCUUACUGUGUGUUUUGUAUGAAAUUUUAUUUGGGUUGAAAGAACAUGAAUACUUAUUGAGUUGGUGAAGCUCAUUAAAUUUCACCCUCAUAUUUUUCAGAGGAGAAUGAAGAGCCAGCACCGCUGUCAGAAGAGUAUAACCUGUAAAAGGAUUCUUUUUUGUAUAUUUUGUGUAUAUUCGAGAAGUUUUAUUUUGUUAUGUUAGACUUUAAAUUCUAACCUCAUGUGUUAUAUAUAUAGUUACUGUACAUAUCAUAUGGGAUGUUAGGUAGUAUUAUAUUUUUUGAUCUAUACAUGUAUAUAUUUUAUGGAUCCACUGCAUGAAAAUGAUAUGAGCAGGAAUUACGCCUCAUAUCGAGCAUCGGGGCGUGACAGGUGGUAUCAGAUCCCACAGUCCUAGAAUUAUCUCUUGUGCAUGAGGUUUUAGAGUUUAAAUAUUGUAUUUUUGCAACUAUUAGGGUGUUAAGAAGUAGGAAAUGUUAUUUUGAAAUGUUCUAUUCAUUUUUUUCUAAAUGAAGGGUUGUAAGAUGAGACGUGGAUAGACUCCACUGGAGCAACCUCCCUCUUACAUGUUCUUACAGAGCAUAUUGACCAGUUGUACCACAUGGUAGAGGAGCUUGUUAACUAGCAUAGAGAAUGGAUACCUAGCCCUCCUCUAAUACUGAC
rnacentral:lncRNA from 1 species